UCCCGACGUUGCGGCCAAACGCAGGCCGCCCAGCGCCAUCGCCGCCACGAAGCCCUUUCCCUCCUGCCGUCGCCCUCCACUGCUCCAGCGAUCGCCGUCGCCUCCGCUCCUGCCUCUGCUCCGGCCGCCGUCUCCACUCCGACUAACGCGCUCGGCGCCCCUGCCUUCGAUCGACGCGCCCGGCGCCCCCGCCUCCGACUGACGCCGCCUCCGCUCCCGCCUCUGUUCCGGCCGCCGGCUCUACUCCGACUGACGCGCCCGGCGCCCCCGCCUCCGACUGACGCCGCCUCCGCUCCCGCCUCUGUUCCGGCCGCCGGCUCUACUCCGACUGACGCGCCCGGCGCCCCCGCCUCCGACCGACGCCGCCUCUGCUCCUGUCGCCCCGACCCGACCGACCCCGCCUCCGCCGCCGCCCACGACCGUCACCGCAGUUGCAUCUACCGGGCGUUGUCGCCGCCACGGAGCCCUUUCCCUCCUCCCAUCACCCUAGCGUCCACCGUCCGUCCCUCAAUCCUGUCGCCGCCGUCAUCGUCGGCGUCCACCCUCGAACCGUCGCUUCCUCCGUGCGCCACCGCUGCAUCUACCGGGAGCCACCGCUGCUGUGGAGCUCCAUCCAGUCCCACUCUGUAGGUUCCAUUCUAUAUUAGCAAAAUGAUUCUAUUUUAGCAAAUGCAAGCAUGUAGAACUUUCUCAAUCCAUUCCAGAUCUAGGCCGCUGCCUAGCGUCCUCCACAUCGCCCCCAUCCUCCAGCAUGACUGUUGGCACCGCGCCUCCGGAUCGACAAACGAUGUAUGCAGGGUGCCCGACAAAAUGCCUUGCCGUCUAAGAUCAUGUGCUCUAGAGAGUGUUUAGUGAUUGUUGAUCUUGGAGACCUGGAUUGUCCACAAUGAUUUGGAAGUAUGUCAAGUCAUGGUUAUCAUCGGCACAUCUUCAUCCUGCAUGUGUAUGAGGCAACAUACUUGGGCUGGUGGCAACUUUGAUCACAAGUUUGGAGCAAGGCAGUAGGCAAGGUGAUGGACCAAAAGGGGAUCAAGUCCAAGCUAUGAUAUAGGCAGAAUGAGAUUGCUGGAAGGUGGCAUCAUUUGUGUUAUCAGAGAAAAAGGUAUAUAUGCAUUCUCUUUAGAUGUGAUGCUUUCUUGCUCAAAGAAAGAAAAAAAGGAAAUUCAGUCAGUGCUAGCACCUUGUCCAAAGACGGAAAAAAAUGUUUUUGGCAGUGCAGCGGAUACAAUUUCAAUUCUGAAGUAUAUUGUCAAUUUUUGGAGUUUAAUUGUUGACAUACUGCAGCCCACAACUGCAAAAAUUUUGUAUGUUCAUUAUGAUGGGUCAUACAUAUAGUUUAGCAGAAGUUGCGUCUGUUUCUUUACCCAGUAGGUUUCUCGGGAUGGUUCAGUCAUAUAGUAUGUAUUGCCUUUGCAGAGCUGUCUGCUUCACAAGCUCUGUAAUUGAUAACUAUGAACGGGUCUCCACACCAACAUUGUUGACAAGAUCAGGUCGAUCUUUCAUUCGUUCAGCUAUGUGCAUAUCGUUAAGUCAAUUAAGAUAUU